GUGUAACCCUCGGUAGACAAAUGUAUUAUAAGAUUUAAUCAAUGGACCAGAUGCUCAGAAGUCUAAAUUCCUCCAAAGAGAGAGAAGAUACAACAACAGUGAAGGACUCGGACACAGAGGCUAUAUCACUAAUAAGGUGUAUCCAAAGAAUCCACUCAAUGGGAGGCUCGCCAGUCCA